UACGGAGGGUCCAAGCGUUAUCCGGAAUUAUUGGGUUUAAAGGGUCCGCAGGCGGGUUUUUAAGUCAGUGGUGAAAUCUUGCAGCUUAACUGUAAAACUGCCAUUGAUACUGAGAAUCUUGAGUUUGCGUGCUGUGGGCGGAAUGAGGCAUGUAGCGGUGAAAUGCAUAGAUAUGCCUCAGAACACCGAUUGCGAAGGCAGCUCACAAAAGCAACACUGACGCUAAUGGACGAAAGCGUGGGGAGCGAACAGGAUUAGAUACCCGGGUAGUCC
rnacentral:rRNA from 1 species